UACAGAGGUCCCAAGCGUUGUUCGGAUUCACUGGGCGUAAAGGGCGCGUAGGCGGCCUGGCAAGUGGAAGGUGAAAUCCCUCGGCUUAACCGAGGAACUGCCCUCCAAACUGCUUGGCUUGAGUCCGGGAGAGGUGAGUGGAAUUCCCAGUGUAGCGGUGAAAUGCGUAGAUAUUGGGAGGAACACCAGUGGCGAAGGCGGCUCACUGGACCGGAACUGACGCUGAGGCGCGAAAGCGUGGGGAGCGAUCCGG
rnacentral:rRNA from 1 species